rnacentral:rRNA from 1 species
CCUACGGGAGGCAGCAGUGAGGAAUAUUGGUCAAUGGACGAGAGUCUGAACCAGCCAAGUAGCGUGAAGGAUGACUGCCCUAUGGGUUGUAAACUUCUUUUAUAUGGGAAUAAAACAGGGUAUGCAUACCCUCUUGUAUGUACCAUAUGAAUAAGGAUCGGCUAACUCCGUGCCAGCAGCCGCGGUAAUACGGAGGAUCCGAGCGUUAUCCGGAUUUAUUGGGUUUAAAGGGAGCGUAGGUGGAUGGUUAAGUCAGUUGUGAAAGUUUGCGGCUCAACCGUAAAAUUGCAGUUGAAACUGGCAGUCUUGAGUACAGUAGAGGUGGGCGGAAUUCGUGGUGUAGCGGUGAAAUGCUUAGAUAUCACGAAGAACUCCGAUUGCGAAGGCAGCUUACUGGACUGCAACUGACACUGAUGCUCGAAAGUGUGGGUAUCAAACAGGAUUAGAUACCCUGGUAGUC